GGGUUGUGAGGUUAAGCGACUAAGCGUACACGGUGGAUGCCCUGGCAGUCAGAGGCGAUGAAGGACGUGCUAAUCUGCGAAAAGCGUCGGUAAGGUGAUAUGAACCGUUACAGCCGGCGAUGUCCGAAUGGGGAAACCCAGUGCAAUUCGUUGCACUAUCGUUAACUGAAUACAUAGGUUAACGAGGCGAACCGGGGGAACUGAAACAUCUAAGUACCCCGAGGAAAAGAAAUCAACCGAGAUUCCCCAGUAGCGGCGAGCGAACGGGGAGCAGCCCAGAGUCUGAAUCAGCUUGUGUGUUAGUGGAACGGUCUGGAAAGUCCGACGGUACAGGGUGAUAGUCCCGUACACCAAAAUGCACAGGCUGUGAACUCGAAGAGUAGGGCGGGACACGUGGUAUCCUGUCUGAAUAUGGGGGACCAUCCUCCAAGGCUAAAUACUCCUGACUGACCGAUAGUGAACCAGUACCGUGAGGGAAAGGCGAAAAGAACCCCGGCGAGGGGAGUGAAAAAGAACCUGAAACCGUGUACGUACAAGCAGUGGGAGCACCUUCGGGUGUGACUGCGUACCUUUUGUAUAAUGGGUCAGCGACUUAUAUUCUGUAGCAAGGUUAACCGUAUAGGGGAGCCGCAGGGAAACCGAGUCUUAACUGGGCGUUAAGUUGCAGGGUAUAGACCCGAAACCCGGUGAUCUAGCCAUGGGCAGGUUGAAGGUUGGGUAACACUAACUGGAGGACCGAACCGACUAAUGUUGAAAAAUUAGCGGAUGACUUGUGGCUGGGGGUGAAAGGCCAAUCAAACCGGGAGAUAGCUGGUUCUCCCCGAAAGCUAUUUAGGUAGCGCCUCGUGAACUCAUCUUCGGGGGUAGAGCACUGUUUCGGCUAGGGGGUCAUCCCGACUUACCAACCCGAUGCAAACUACGAAUACCGAAGAAUGUUAUCACGGGAGACACACGGCGGGUGCUAACGUCCGUCGUGAAGAGGGAAACAACCCAGACCGCCAGCUAAGGUCCCAAAGUCAUGGUUAAGUGGGAAACGAUGUGGGAAGGCACAGACAGCCAGGAUGUUGGCUUAGAAGCAGCCAUCAUUUAAAGAAAGCGUAAUAGCUCACUGGUCGAGUCGGCCUGCGCGGAAGAUGUAACGGGGCUAAACCAUGCACCGAAGCUGCGGCAGCGACACUAUGUGUUGUUGGGUAGGGGAGCGUUCUGUAAGCCUGCGAAGGUGACCUGUGAGGGUUGCUGGAGGUAUCAGAAGUGCGAAUGCUGACAUAAGUAACGAUAAAGCGGGUGAAAAGCCCGCUCGCCGGAAGACCAAGGGUUCCUGUCCAACGUUAAUCGGGGCAGGGUGAGUCGACCCCUAAGGCGAGGCCGAAAGGCGUAGUCGAUGGGAAACAGGUUAAUAUUCCUGUACUUGGUGUUACUGCGAAGGGGGGACGGAGAAGGCUAUGUUAGCCGGGCGACGGUUGUCCCGGUUUAAGCAUGUAGGCUGGUUAUCCAGGCAAAUCCGGAUAAUCAAGGCUGAGGUGUGAUGACGAGGCACUACGGUGCUGAAGUAACAAAUGCCCUGCUUCCAGGAAAAGCCUCUAAGCAUCAGGUAACAUUAAAUCGUACCCCAAACCGACACAGGUGGUCAGGUAGAGAAUACCAAGGCGCUUGAGAGAACUCGGGUGAAGGAACUAGGCAAAAUGGUGCCGUAACUUCGGGAGAAGGCACGCUGGUGUGUAGGUGAAGUCCCUGCGGAUGGAGCUGAGACCAGUCGAAGAUACCAGCUGGCUGCAACUGUUUAUUAAAAACACAGCACUGUGCAAACACGAAAGUGGACGUAUACGGUGUGACGCCUGCCCGGUGCCGGAAGGUUAAUUGAUGGGGUUAUCCGUAAGGAGAAGCUCUUGAUCGAAGCCCCGGUAAACGGCGGCCGUAACUAUAACGGUCCUAAGGUAGCGAAAUUCCUUGUCGGGUAAGUUCCGACCUGCACGAAUGGCGUAAUGAUGGCCAGGCUGUCUCCACCCGAGACUCAGUGAAAUUGAACUCGCUGUGAAGAUGCAGUGUACCCGCGGCAAGACGGAAAGACCCCGUGAACCUUUACUAUAGCUUGACACUGAACAUUGAGCCUUGAUGUGUAGGAUAGGUGGGAGGCUUUGAAGCGUGGACGCCAGUCUGCGUGGAGCCAACCUUGAAAUACCACCCUUUAAUGUUUGAUGUUCUAACGUUGGCCCCUUACCGGGGUUGCGGACAGUGUCUGGUGGGUAGUUUGACUGGGGCGGUCUCCUCCCAAAGCGUAACGGAGGAGCACGAAGGUUAGCUAAUCCUGGUCGGACAUCAGGAGGUUAGUGCAAUGGCAUAAGCUAGCUUGACUGCGAGCGUGACGGCGCGAGCAGGUGCGAAAGCAGGUCAUAGUGAUCCGGUGGUUCUGAAUGGAAGGGCCAUCGCUCAACGGAUAAAAGGUACUCCGGGGAUAACAGGCUGAUACCGCCCAAGAGUUCAUAUCGACGGCGGUGUUUGGCACCUCGAUGUCGGCUCAUCACAUCCUGGGGCUGAAGUAGGUCCCAAGGGUAUGGCUGUUCGCCAUUUAAAGUGGUACGCGAGCUGGGUUUAGAACGUCGUGAGACAGUUCGGUCCCUAUCUGCCGUGGGCGCUGGAGAAUUGAGGGGGGCUGCUCCUAGUACGAGAGGACCGGAGUGGACGCAUCACUGGUGUUCGGGUUGUCAUGCCAAUGGCACUGCCCGGUAGCUAAAUGCGGAAGAGAUAAGUGCUGAAAGCAUCUAAGCACGAAACUUGCCCCGAGAUGAGUUCUCCCUGAGACUUUAAGUCUCCUGAAGGAACGUUAAAGACGAUGACGUUGAUAGGCCGGGUGUGUAAGCGCAGCGAUGCGUUGAGCUAACCGGUACUAAUGAACCGUGAGGCUUAACCUUACAACGCCGAAG
rnacentral:rRNA from 1 species